AGAAUCAACGCUGGCGGCGUGCCUAACACAUGCAAGUCGAACGAGAAAGGGUAGCAAUACCUGAGUAAAGUGGCGCACGGGUGAGUAACACGUGACUAACCUACCCUGGAGUGGGGGAUAACUGAGGGAAACCUUAGCUAAUACCGCAUAAUACCUACGGGUCAAAGGAGCAAUUCGCUUUGGGAGGGGGUCGCGGCCGAUUAGUUAGUUGGCGGGGUAAUGGCCCACCAAGACAGUGAUCGGUAUCCGGCCUGAGAGGGCGCACGGACACACUGGAACUGAAACACGGUCCAGACUCCUACGGGAGGCAGCAGUGGGGAAUUUUGCGCAAUGGGGGAAACCCUGACGCAGCAACGCCGCGUGGAGGAUGAAGUACUUCGGUACGUAAACUCCUUUCGAUCGGGACGAUAAUGACGGUACCGGAAGAAGAAGCCCCGGCUAACUUCGUGCCAGCAGCCGC
rnacentral:rRNA from 1 species